rnacentral:rRNA from 1 species
CAUGGGGAUGCUUUCCAUGCAGUCGACGGCAGCACGGGUGCUUGCACCUGGUGGCGAGUGGCGAACGGGUGAGUAAUGCGUCGGAACGUACCGAGUAAUGGGGGAUAACGCAGCGAAAGUUGUGCUAAUACCGCAUACGCCCUGAGGGGGAAAGUGGGGGAUCGCAAGACCUCACGUUAUUCGAGCGGCCGACGUCUGAUUAGCUAGUUGGUGAGGUAAUGGCUCACCAAGGCGACGAUCAGUAGCGGGUCUGAGAGGAUGAUCCGCCACACUGGGACUGAGACACGGCCCAGACUCCUACGGGAGGCAGCAGUGGGGAAUUUUGGACAAUGGGGGCAACCCUGAUCCAGCCAUUCCGCGUGAGUGAAGAAGGCCUUCGGGUUGUAAAGCUCUUUCAGCAGGAACGAAACGGUGCGCUCUAACAUAGCGUGCUAAUGACGGUACCUGCAGAAGAAGCACCGGCUAACUACGUGCCAGCAGCCGCGGUAAUACGUAGGGUGCGAGCGUUAAUCGGAAUUACUGGGCGUAAAGCGUGCGCAGGCGGAUUGUUAAGCAAGACGUGAAAUCCCCGGGCUUAACCUGGGAAUGGCGUUUUGAACUGGCAGUCUAGAGUGUGUCAGAGGGGGGUGGAAUUCCACGUGUAGCAGUGAAAUGCGUAGAGAUGUGGAGGAACACCAAUGGCGAAGGCAGCCCCCUGGGAUAACACUGACGCUCAUGUACGAAAGCGUGGGUAGCAAACAGGAUUAGAUACCCUGGUAGUCCACGCCCUAAACGAUGUCAACUGGUUGUUGGGGGAGUGAAAUCCCUUAGUAACGAAGCUAACGCGUGAAGUUGACCGCCUGGGGAGUACGGUCGCAAGAUUAAAACUCAAAGGAAUUGACGG